CCAGAUUUCUUGACAUGCAAGCAUACCAGCUUUCUAUUCACUGAACUCAAACCAUUGCAGACACAAUUCUCAGAGACAAAAAUUGCAUUUACUUCAGUGUACGAGAAUGCCAAACUGGUCCUUUUGGAGAGGGGAAGAAGUAGUGCAAACUACUGGUAAUCAAGAUAAAUCAAGCCAUGACGUAGAACAUAAGCACUAUGCUCCAUUCAAUUCAGCUAGGGAGCUCAACUUCUUCAGCACUAAAGACCCAGAUCCUGAUUUUGGUUCAAGACCCACACUGGAACAUAAACCUAAUCCAGAACACCUGUGAAGCCACUUUAUGCUAAACUAUCAGUAAGUUUUAACAAUAAAUGUCUAUUAAUCAGUGAAUGACCA
rnacentral:lncRNA from 1 species